ACUCCAGGGCUGAUGUCAUGGCGCGAAGCCCGGCGGUGCUGCCCUCCUAGGCCCCGGGAAGGCCGGCCGGCAGGGGCGGGGGCAGGAGUCGCCGACUCUGGGGGUGCUCCGAGCUCGUGCUGCGGUCCCACUGUGCGCCCUGUCGCCGCCACCGCGGAAAACGUCUUGCACGUGCGAGGGGCAUUUCAGGAGUUUCCUGUCUGUCAGGGUUUUCCCAAGCUCAGCCGAUUGUUCUUGCUGGGAUCUCUCCUGUGAUUACAGUCAAAUGAGAGCUGGCUGGAUUCUUCACUGAGUCUCCCUUACUCCUGUGGCUGGAGGCUGAUGCUGGCUGUCAGCUGGGACCUCAGCUGAGGCUGUUAGCCAGAACCCCUACAUGUGGUCUCUCCAUGGGGCCUGGACUCUCUCACAGCAUGGUGGCUGGUUGCAAGGAGAAGCAUCCCAAGAGAUAGCAGGAGAAAGUUGUCUUGCCUUUUGAAAACUGGCUUCGCAAGGCCCAUAGCAGAUCUUCCCCUGUGCUCCACUAGUUGAGACAGUCACGAAGCCCCACCCAGUUUCAAAGAAGGGGACAGAGACUCCAUUUCCUGAUGUGUGAGUGGCAAGGUUCUGGAAGAGUAUGUGGAAUGGAAAGCAUUAUUGCAACCAUUUGGGGAAAAUACAACUUGCUGCUGGCAGGAAGGUCAUUUCAGGCAGAGAUCUUCAUUGAUGGUACCUUCAGAAAUGCAUUUUUAGGAAAGAAAGUGGUUUUUACAGACUUGGCAUUGCUAAGGGAAAACAUAAGGUUUUAGAAGUAUUUACUGAGCCAUCUUCACCAAGACUUAUGAGAAACAUUUCUUCGAAGAGAAGAUGCUGAGGAAGAGGAAGAUGACUUUUGAAGUGGACUCCAAGGGGCAGACAGGAGGCUGGGAUGGAUGGCAGCUCACAGCUGGCAAAGGCAGUGGACUAGCAAUCAUGGGUGAAGGCCUACCAAGACUGAUUCUUAGAGGGGGGAGAAUUGACUUUGUGUUCUUAUAGCAAGUGACCAGGAAUAACCAGAUGCUGUGUCCAAGCUGAGUCCUCAAAAACAGUAGUAGGCAGGGGCCAAACCAGAAAGCAACAGUUAACAAAAACUGUAUUGUAGCAAGAGAGAUAAGAUAAGCACACAAGUGUAACCACCCAACGGGUUCACCUUGUCUGCUGCCUAGACAGAGCCGAUUUAUCAAGACAGGAGAAUAGCAAUGGAGAAAGAGUAAUUCACGCAGACCCGGCUGUGCAGGAGACUGGAGUUUUAUUAUUACUCAAAUCAGUCUCUCCGAGCAUUCGGGGAUCAGAGUUUUAAUUUGGCAAGUAGGGGCUUGGGAAGUGGGGAGUGCUAAUUGCUCAGGUUGGAGAUGGAAUCAUAGAGGGUCGAAGUGAGUUUUUUGUGCUAUUUUCUGUUCCUGGGUGGGAUGGCAGAACUGGUUGAGCCAGAUUACAGUUCUGGGUUGUGUCAGCUGAUCCACCCAGAGUGUAGGGUCUGCAAGAUAUCUCAAGCACUGAUCUUAGGUUUUACAACAGUAGUGUUAUCCCUAGGAACAAUUUAAGGAGGUUCAGAUUCUUCAAGCCAGAGACUGCGUGACCCCUAAACUGUAAUUUCGAAUCUUGUAGCUAAUUUGUUAGCCCUGCAAAGGCAGACUGGUCCCCAGGCAGGAAGAGGGUCUUUUUGGGAAAGGUCUAUUAUUAAUUUUGUUUUAGAGUCAAAUCAUGAACUGAAUUCCUUCAGGGCAAAGUUAUUUCCACCUAUGCCCAGGAAUGAACAAGGACAGCUUAAAGGUUAGAAGCAAAAUGGUUAGGUAGGUCUGAUUUCUUUACUGUCAUAAUUUCCUCAGUUAUAAUUUUGCAAAGGCAGUUUCACAAGCAACCACAAGGCAUAACAGCUAUCAUUUGGGGGUAAUACAGGGAAGCAGGGAGCAGUCAUCAUGCAUGAGCAAGAGCUGGGUCAGAGAUAAGACACAGCCCCAGGUUAGAAGGCAGCUUCACAGAGAUGAAUAGGGAGUGAGAUCAAGGACCACAGCAGAGGUUGACAGCCCAAGGCCCUUGAUGGCACUAUGACCUGAAUGUCCAGGAUCUUCCAUGUCAACCACCAACUUUAUAGGAAAGGGUGCACGAGCCAGGAAUAAUGGUGGUCAAGCUUGGCUGUGUGGGAAAUAGGGAGUUUGCCUGCCUGGCAGCUGCUGAGUGUCUCAGUAGUGAGCUUCCAGCUACACAAUAUCUGGACCCUGAGACCCAAAGAGGAAGGAGACUUUGGCUUCCUUUACUAUGGGCAUUCUGUGACCCACCCUGGCAAUGAGAAGGACUAAAGAACUACAAGAUAUUAAAUCUACCUUAUGUUUUUCACUUGCUUAUGAGCACUGGAGCUCCAUCACCUGAGCCCCCACUAAGUGCAGAUGUAUGUGACUUUAGAAAGGUUAGAUUUACUCUUCAUAGCUCAGGGUAUAAAGAAGUGGUCCCAAUAAAAGUUUCCUUUGCUACAGGGGGCUGAGGACAAUCAUGAGGUUGUGAACUCUUUGAGGACAGGAUUAGAUCUUGGUCAAUAUCUGUAUGCUCAGUGCCUAGGGUAGCAUCUAGUUCAUGCAAGGAAGGAAAGGAGAGAGGAAGGAAGGAAGGAAGGAAGGAAG
rnacentral:lncRNA from 1 species